rfam:Schistosoma mattheei strain Denwood, Zambia genome assembly, scaffold: SMTD_contig0014366
GUGAAGGCUCUUUUCAGAGCCACCUACAAUUUGAUUUAAAUUCUUG